GAAAGGUGGCAGUGUGAAGGCAGUGACGGCAGUUGUUAAUUGCAGUAUAAUCCCUUCAGCUUUUGGAUGUCCGUCUAACCAAUGACCAAAGCAACACAAGAUCAUUUUUGAAUUGGGAGAAAUCAAUGAAUGACGUCAAGCAAAAUGGCGAAGAGAAUUUGCUUACCGCGGUUUCGGUGGCAAGUGCAACGGGGAAUGUUGACGUUGGCAUGAAAAAGGGGGCAGGACCAAUGCGCUCUUGACUCUUUAGUUUGGUGCUUACAGUCGUUUGUUCCAACCAGAAAGCGACGUGUUUGUUGAGAAACAGUCGUGUUUCAGACGCAUCGUUGGAAACACUUGAUUUCUUUAUUACGUAACCAAACUCGAAGAAAAAUGGAUCAUUUUUCGUCUGGAAAUGGAGUUCAAGCGACAAAUUCAAACGCAGAACCGGUAAAAAACAAUGCAGCUGAUUUAUGUAAUGUCAAGCAGAAACAAAAGCAUUCAGUGCUUUGCACCGUGACGCAAGAAAACAUGCGCAUGCGCCAAACCAUUGACCAAACGACGCGUAAAAUGAACCAAUGGAUACGUCAAACUCAACAACAAACUGGGAGCUUCAUAAAGCUCAUGGACACGCUCAAGGCGUCCAUGCCGAACCAGAACAACUCACGACACAAUUUAGACGCAAUGAUUAAACAGAUGAAAGAUCGGGAGUCCCGAUGGGCUCAAGAAAGGCUGGCCUUUGAAGACAUGCAAAAACGUUCGACGACUAAAUAAUUUUCAGUCAGCAACGAGGUAGGUCACUGCGGUUAAUCGGGUCGAGGUACCCCUCUCCCUCCCCCUAAUACUA
rnacentral:misc_RNA from 1 species